AUCACUGUGGAGGACUUUUGGUGGAGGAACCAAACUCAUCAUUAACUCUGGCACCAUGGUCAGGCCCUCAGUCUCUCUGCUUCCCCCCUCCUCUGAGCAGCUCUCUGGGGGCUCGGCCACGCUGGCCUGCCUGCUGACCGGCUACUCUCCUCAGGGAGCCGUGGUGAGCUGGCAGGUGGACGGUACGGAGGUGACGGAGGGGGUCCUGAGCAGCUCAGAGGAGGAGAAGAGCGGCCGCUACAGCAGCAGCAGCACCCUGAGCCUGAGCCAGGAGCGCUGGAUGGAAGGAGAGCUGUACUCCUGCAGGGUCCUCCAUCAGGGCCACAGCCAGACCCAGUCCCUCCACAGGAGCCAGUGUAAGGGCUAGAGGGGCCGGCUGAAGCCCAGGACAGGAGCUCUGUGUGGGGGGGAGCAGCUCUGAUCAAUAGCAGUUUGAAUGCUUGUAGAGGAAACUGAAGCUUUGUGUGACAGAGAACAACACUGCUGUAAAGUGUUGGACAACAACAACUUAGAGAGGAAUGUGUGUCGCUCAGCAGCUUCAUGCGAGUGAGCUUAAUAACUGUCAUGUUGAUCACUGAUGUUGUUGCUAAUAAAGAUUUCACUGAUACAUAA